UCAAUGGGCUUACGCCUGAACCAGCCAAGUCGCGUGAGGGGAAACGACUGCCCUAUGGGUUGUAAACCUCUUUUGUCAGGGAGCAACAACAUCUACGAGUAGGUGUUACGAGAGUACCUGAAGAAAAAGCAUCGGCUAACUCCGUGCC
rnacentral:rRNA from 1 species